rnacentral:rRNA from 1 species
UAAACGACGGCCAGUGCCAAGCUUGCAUGCCUGCAGGUCGACGAUUAGAGUUUGAUCCUGGCUCAGGAUGAACGCUGGCGGCGUGCUUAACACAUGCAAGUCGAACGAUGAACCCGCUUGCGGGGGAUUAGUGGCGAACGGGUGAGUAACACGUGAGUAACCUGCCCUUAACUCUGGGAUAAGCCUUGGAAACGGGGUCUAAUACUGGAUAUUGACUUUACCUCGCAUGGGGUUUUGUUGAAAGAUUUAUUGGUUUUGGAUGGACUCGCGGCCUAUCAGCUUGUUGGUGAGGUAAUGGCUCACCAAGGCGACGACGGGUAGCCGGCCUGAGAGGGUGACCGGCCACACUGGGACUGAGACACGGCCCAGACUCCUACGGGAGGCAGCAGUGGGGAAUAUUGCACAAUGGGCGAAAGCCUGAUGCAGCGACGCCGCGUGAGGGAUGACGGCCUUCGGGUUGUAAACCUCUUUCAGUAGGGAACAAGGCCAGCAUUUUUGUUGGUUGAGGGUACUUGCAGAAGAAGCGCCG